AUGGCCUGGACCCCUCUCUUUGUGCCUCUUGUCUAUCUCUAUGCAGGUUCUGUGGCCUCCUAUGAGCUGACCCAACCACCUUCAGCAUCAGUCAGUGUAGGAGAGACUGUCAAAAUCACCUGCUCUGGGGAGCAAUUGCCAAAAAAAUAUGCUCAUUGGUUUCAGCAAAAGUCAGACCAGACCAUUUUGCAAGUGAUAUACAAAGAUAGUGAGCGCCCCUCGGGGAUCCCUGAACGAUUCUCUGGGUCCAGUUCAGGGACAACAGCCACCUUGACCAUCAGUGAUGUCCGGGCUGAGGAUGAGGCUGACUAUUACUGUUUGUCAUCAUAUGCUGAGGGUGAUAGCAGCUUCUUCCACAGUGAUUUAGGCAGAUGGGGAAGUGUCUCUGUAACUUUUUCUCUGUAA